rnacentral:rRNA from 1 species
GGGACCGAAAUUUAGUAGGGAAGCAAGUUUGGACGAGGGCGAGAAAAGUCUUAUGUAUAUCUUCGGCGCCCGUACCGCAAACCGACACAGGUAGAUAGGAAGAGAAUUCUAAGGCCAACGGGAGAAGGGUAGUUAAGGAACUCGGCAAAUUGACCCCGUAACUUAGGAAUAAGGGGUGCCACAGCGAUGUGGUCGCAGAGAAUAGGCCCAGGCAACUGUUUAUCAAAAACACAGGUCUCUGCCAAAUCGAAAGAUGAAGUAUAGGGGCUGACACCUGCCCGGUGCUGGAAGGUUAAGAGGAGAUGUGCAAGCAUUGAAUUGAAGCCCCAGUAAACGGCGGCCGUAACGAUAACGGUCCUAAGGUAGCGAAAUUCCUUGUCGGGUAAGUUCCGACCCGCACGAAUGGUGUAAUGAUCUGGGCACUGUCUCAAUUACCCGCCCGGCGAAAUUGUAGUACCGGUGAAGAUGCCGGUUACCCGCGACAAGACGGAAAGACCCCAUGGAGCUUUACUGUAGCUUAAUAUUGGGUUUCGAUAAUUUAUGUAUAGGAUAGGCGGGAGACUAGGAAACCGUGGCGCCAGCCACGGCGGAGUCGACGUUGGAAUACCGCUCUUAAGUUAUUGGAAUUCUAACCUGCGGCCAUGAAUCUGGCCGGGGGACAUUGUUAGGUGGGCAGUUUGACUGGGGCGGUCGCCUCCAAAAAGGUAACGGAGGCGCUCAAAGGUUGGCUCAGCAUGGUUGGAAACCAUGCCUUAGAGUGUAAACGCGUAAGCCAGCCUAACUGCUAGGAUGACGGUCCGAGCAGUAACGAAAGUUGGAGUUAGUGAUCCGGCGGUAUGAGAGUGGAAUUGCCGUCGCUCAACGGAUAAAAGCUACCCUGGGGAUAACAGGCUGAUCUCCCCCAAGAGUCCACAUCGACGGGGAGGUUUGGCACCUCGAUGUCGGCUCAUCACAUCCUGGGGCUGUAUUCGGUCCCAAGGGUUCGGCUGUUCGCCGAUUAAAGUGGUACGCGAGCUGGGUUCAGAACGUCGUGAGACAGUUCGGUCCCUAUCUGUCGUGGGCGCAGGAUAUUUGAGGAGAGCUGUCCUUAGUACGAGAGGACCGGGAUGGACGCACCUCUGGCGCACCAGUUGUCACGCCAGUGGCACAGCUGGGCAACUAUGUGCGGAACGGAUAAACGCUGAAAGCAUCUAAGCGUGAAGCCGACUCCAAGAUUAGAUAUCCCAUAGCGUAAGCUAGUAAGACCCCUUGUAGACUACAAGGUUGAUAGGCCGCAUGUGUAAGCACGGUAACGUGUUCAGCUUGGCAGUACUAAUAGGUCGAGGGCUUGACCU